GAGACCUUAGUUUAAUGGUAAAACAUGUGACUUUUAAUCAUUAUAAUACGAGUUCGAGUCUCGUAGGUCUUA
rnacentral:tRNA from 1 species